AAUCAGCUAUUGUUUCUAGCUUUUGAUACAUUGAUGAUCUAAAGAAAUCUAUUCUUUUUUUAUGGGAUAUGAUUGUAGGAUGUGCAUUUCGAAUAUAUUAACUGUAAGUUGCAGCUAUCUUUGUUAUCUACUAAAAUUUUUCAGUAAAAUGAUUCUUAUUCAGUAUAUAGAAUGUGAUAUUUGUAAAGAAAAACAAUUGAGGCAAGAACUUAUAAUGCAUGUUACAUCCUUAUAAACAAGUCCGUCUGCAAACAUCUUAGGAUAGAGAAUGUUAAAAUUUCACCCUACAACAAAAGCAAGGAACUUGUAACAUUAUGGUUAAGUUGGAUUUCUGCCGCCAAUAAGGAUCCAGCCUCUGGUGAUGGUAAACUAUCUCAAAAUUCAAUUUUCUUUAUCUUUUUUCCCAAAAAAUCCAAUUAGAUUCUUGUUUCAUGUACUUGAAGCAUUACUAACUUAAGCAUCAGAAACAGAAAAAGGAAUGAGAAUGCCUUAGUAACAUUAUAUUUGAUAGUAUUUAGCAGCAACCGGCAAUGAGUAUUGGUGCAACUCUUGUGACAGAGUGCUAGCAGUCAGUAGUGCCAAAUCCUCUGUUUGUUGCAACUUAAAAGUAGUCCAUGGGGAUCCAUAUGUGCUGAUGAGCAUAGGACUUGCAUGUCAUAGUAACACUUGCUGUGCAUCGCCUUUGUAUUCUUUUUUACGAAAGAGUUACCGAUUGUGCACUUGGUGUUUUUAGGAUUUGGUUCAUGAGGGAGAAGAAGUAUCUUUUCCAUCAUAGUUAUUGCUAAGUUUGUAAUAAAAACUUUAUUUGUUUUGUAACAAUUGAUGAUGAAGCUGCACGACAGUAGGUGUGUUGUCAGCUCUGCAGAUUUUACCUGUUCCCUGUUCUGUAUAGCCUUUGGUUUGCACAUUUAAAAUGUGGUGUUAUAUUUUGGUUUCGUAGGUUAGUUUAAGAAAAGUGUUCACAAUCAACAAUUAAUUUGAUUUUGAGAGAAGAAAACACUCUUUUGAGUAAUUCUUAACUGAUUCGCCUGAAGCUAGUGCCUCCCUGAUGCACCAUAACCAUUGCAUGGUUACCACACCCCACGCAUCACGCAUUGUUAUAAAGAAUUAAGCUUUCCACUAAAGUUGAAAUACUACUUUCUCACGUAAAGCAACUGGAACAUUUCUGAAAAGUCUAGAAAACAACGAAUCUCCUUUAAACCCUCCCAAAGUCAAGUAUUAACCUAAUUAGGAUAAAACUCCCACAUUCCUACAUAAGGGUAUCAAAACCAAACAUUUACCAUAUUUCUAUUUUUCUAAAAUCAAUUUAAUUAUCAUUUCCAAACACAGGUUUCAGGAAAGACAAAACCAGCCACAAAAGUCCUGGAAUAUGGGUGUCUGAUCCUUAUGGCCAAAUCGGAAAAGAACAAUCUUUAAACCCAGGAAAAGGGACUCUAUAAGUCCUUUUAAGCAUAUGACAGGAGUAAAAGUAUUUUCUAUCAACUAAAAUUUUGAAUAAGGCGAUGUUUAUGUUCUAUAUUUGUAUGUGGACUAACAUGGCAAAUUCUUUUGACAAUAUGUCACGAAACAAAACCGACCAAACUGUUGUCAUAAAUAUCUAUUUUUUUCCUCCCUUGUAUUUGUCUUUUUAAUGCUUUUCCAUUCCAGGAAACUUCGAAGAACAUAUAUUGGAAAUUGGAUAUCCAAGAGAUGACACUGGAUAUGAAAAUUCACCUCAAUCAGAGAAUAUUGAUCUCCCCCAGUACAGGCGAGCAACACGCGUGUGUUCUCAGCAACCAUUACUACUCACCAACAGCUUUGAUUCUAUUCACUCAUCAUUACAUCCUAGGUUUGCCACACUACUGACAAGCUGUUCAACAUAAAAUGUGAAAGAGGCACCCGAACCAAUGGAAACAGAAUUCAUGUUCUAAAUCAUUGUAUUGUUUUUUCUCUUUACCAUUCAAUUUCUUUGAUACAAGGUUCCUGCUGCUCCAAUAUAUGUUUAUUUAUUUAUUUUGUUCUUUUUGGUAGCAGAGAUACUUGUUGGAUUCUUUUGAUUACACCACUAGCUCAAAGUAUUUGUUAGAGUCAGAACCUACAUCCAGUAAUUUGAUUACACAUUGGAUUGCAGAGAUAUGGACCGCGAAGAUGAUCAGCCUGACAAUGCCAUCUAUGUUCAACAAGCUAAUGCAUGAAGUGGCUUGAUGAGACGUUUACCAGUUCGAUUGUCUCCAUUUCAUUCAACAGUGUGGCCAAUCUAGGAGUGGACCACAUGAAGGAUUUUUAUUUAUUUUUAUGUAUUCAAGACCAUUUUUAACUUAUUGUUGUAAAUAUUAUAUAUUUUUAUUGUAAAGUAAUAUAAUUCUUGUUUAAUAUU